rnacentral:rRNA from 1 species
AUGGCUGCACGAGCACUGACCGCCGCCGGCCGCCGGGUGGCCGGCCAGAGCCUGACCAGGCCGACGCCUCUUCUUGCCUCCUCCAGUAGCGGGGCCAGCAUGAACUACUCCUUGGCCAACGCGCAGCGUGAGGAGGAGCGCGGGGACGUCCAUGGCCCGGCGGCGGCGAUGACGGGGGCGCAGGUGGAGGCCGCGCUGAAUCGCAAGAACGUCGAGGUGCUCCAGGGCGAGGAGGAGCACGUCGCCACGGCCACGGUGCUGCCAGAUAGCGACGAGACAGUCGGCGGCGCGCUGGACGGCGGCGAGGACGCAUCGUGGGUGCCCGACCAGGACACGGGCGUCUUCGUCCCCGCCGAUGCCGACGCUGACGCCCACUGCGGGGGCGCGCAUCCCGCCCCACCGCACCUGUACGGAGGCGUGGGCGGGCCGGCGUCGGUGCUGGACCAGGCGGUGUUCGUCCGGGAGGAGGAGAUGGAGGACGUGGAAAGGCCCGCCAUGGGCCUCACCGAUGCCAACGACGGCAGCAACAACAACUAG